rnacentral:lncRNA from 1 species
CACUCGUCGGGGAGUUGAACACGCUUAUCUGUGGACCAAGCCGAUUGAUGUUUCACCGCACCUACCAAAGGGAAUCGGGUUCCCUCAUGCACUUAGGAAAAAAGAAAGACCACGUGGGCGCCAGAUAUCGGGGGACCUGCCCCGAUAAUCAUGUAGGUUCUUCCUUUCUUUUUUCCCAUUUAUUUGUUUUCUCUCUUCUCUUCUUCUUAAUUUUUCCCUUGGCAGCAUACCUUCAAUACUUGAAUCUGUCUGGCUUCCUGAAGACGAUGAUGAGGAAGAAGGAAACAUAGGAUCAUCUGAAGAAAAAGACGUCACUGAUCUAUGUCGGGAUCGGUGCUGGUUUUGGUUUUGCUUUCUUCUUUUCUUUCGUUUGUGUUUAC